UACGUAGGGGGCAAGCGUUGUCCGGAUUUAUUGGGCGUAAAGAGCGUGUAGGCGGCCAGGUAGGUCUGCUGUGAAAACUCGAGGCUUAACCUCGAGCUGUCGGCGGAAACCAUCUGGCUAGAGUCCGGAAGAGGAGAGUGGAAUUCCGUGGUGUAGCGGUGAAAUGCGCAGAUAUCAGGAAGAACACCAAUGGCGAAGGCAGCUCUCGUGGGACGGUACUGA
rnacentral:rRNA from 1 species